rnacentral:rRNA from 1 species
AAAUUCCGGGGCUCAACCUCGGAACUGCAUUUGAUACUGCUUGGCUAGAGUACUGGAGAGGAGACUGGAAUUUACGGUGUAGCAGUGAAAUGCGUAGAUAUCGUAAGGAAGGCCAGUNNNNAAAGUGAGUCUCUGGACAGUAACUGACGCUGAUGCACGAAGGCUAGGGGAGCAAACGGGAUUAGAUACCCCGGUAGUCCUAGCAGUAAACGGUGCACGUUUGGUGUGGGAGGAAUCGACCCCUUCCGUGCCGGAGCUAACGCGUUAAA